CACGUAGUUAGCCGUGGCUUAUUCAAGAGGUACCGUCUUCUUCUCUUCCCUCUUAAAAGAAGUUUACAACCCGAAAGCCUUCUUCCUUCACGCGGCGUUGCUGGGUCAGGCUUGCGCCCAUUGCCCAAUAUUCCCCACUGCUGCCUCCCGUAGGAGUCUGGGCCGUAUCUCAGUCCCAAUGUGGCCGGUCAACCUCUCAGUCCGGCUACUGAUCGUCGCCUAGGUGGGCCGUUACCCCGCCUACUAGCUAAUCAGACGCGAGGCCAUCUUCCAGCGAUAAAUCUUUGGUGUCUCAAUGAUGCCAUCAAAACACAUUAUGCGGUAUUAGCAGUCGUUUCCAACUGUUGUCCCCCUCUGGAAGGCAGGUUCCUCACGCGUUACUCACCAGUCCGCCACUAAGCAUUCCCUUCCGUUGUCCGAAAACUCCUUCAGGGGUGCUCCGUUCGACUUGCAUGUGUUAAGCACGCCGCCAGCGUUCGUCCUGAGCCAGGAUCAAACUCU
rnacentral:rRNA from 1 species